rnacentral:rRNA from 1 species
AUACGGAGGGGGUUAGCGUUGUUCGGAAUUACUGGGCGUAAAGCGCACGUAGGCGGAUUGGAAAGUUGGGGGUGAAAUCCCAGGGCUCAACCCUGGAACUGCCUCCAAAACUAACAGUCUAGAGUUCGAGAGAGGUGAGUGGAAUUCCAAGUGUAGAGGUGAAAUUCGUAGAUAUUUGGAGGAACACCAGUGGCGAAGGCGGCUCACUGGCUCGAUACUGACGCUGAGGUGCGAAAGCGUGGGGAGCAAACAGGAUUAGAUACCCUUGUAGUCC